UACGGGGGGAGCAAGCGUUGUUCGGAUUUACUGGGCGUAAAGGGCGCGUAGGCGGCCACCGCAAGUCGACUGUGAAAUCUCCGGGCUCAACCCCGGACCUGCAUCCGAUACUGCGUGACUAGAGGUAGGUAGGGGAGAUCGGAAUUCCUGGUGUAGCGGUGAAAUGCGCAGAUAUCAGGAGGAACACCGGUGGCGAAGGCGGAUCUCUGGGCCUUACCUGACGCUCAGGCGCGAAAGCUAGGGGAGCGAACAGG
rnacentral:rRNA from 1 species